UUAGCUUUAGCUUACGGCCAAAGGAAAUGGAACAAUAUAGUAAAUUUAUAAAGGGAAACAGUAUUUAGGUUUUGUAUAAACUCGCUGCCCCAAGAAACCAUAAUAUUCUCCGGACUCUGUCUCUUUACACAAAGAACAAAUCUCUCUCACCGAUUCGUAAUAAGACGAAAAAUUCAUUAUCCGAGUUCAAACGACUCAGCGAUUCGACUCGUCCAUGGCUGUCCGUUUCAAAUUCAGGAGUUCACCGGACUUUGACUCCGUCGAUAUUGAAGGUCGACCUUCCAUUUCGAUUCGUGAUCUGAAAUCCAAGAUCGUUCGUCACAAGAACCUCGAUAUCUGCCAAGACUUCGAUCUCGUUUUCUCUGAUGCCCUCACCGGCCAAGAGUACUCUGAUGAGAAAUUUCAAAUUCCGAGUGGUUCGAGUGUGAUAAUCAAAAGAGUGCCUGCCGGAUCAGCUCCUUCUAAUAUGGUGAACUUUAACACGAUUGAAAACGUCCAGAACAAGCCCUCAAAGUUGGUUAAUUCUACUCUUCCAAUGAAUGUUGAAGUGGAUGACUUUGAUGACUUUGGGAUCGACUUGUAUCCUGUUCCUGAGGCGACCUUUUCUGGAGAGGACCUUGAUGCUGACAAGAAUGUAUGCACUGGAAGUGAUCAGAGAAAUGAUGCUCUUACAAGAUGCUUGAAGCCAUCUACGGAAGGAUGUCAAAGACAUGAAGAAAGUGACCUCAGUGAAGCUAUUCCUAGGGAUCCUGCACAUUGUGGAGCUGAAGGGAAUAUGCCCCAGAAAAAGUCAAUACUUAAAGUUGAAGAAGAUAAAAAUUUAGAAAGGGUGAUUGAUGCCAAUCCUCCGGCCAUGCAAAACGCCUACUUGCCAUCAGAGCUGAAGUGCUCUCUCUGUGAUUCAUUUUUCAAGGAGGCUGUGAUGAUACCUUGCUGCCAGCAUAGUUUUUGUCAGAAAUGCAUUCGUCUAGUGCUGCUUGAGAAACGAAGGUGUCCUAAGUGUCUUUCUACCAGGUGCAGAGUAGAAGAUCUACUACCAAAUGUAUCUCUUAGGCAAGCAAUUGAACAUUUCCUUGAGUCUCAAAUUUUAAACACCGGUUCAGGCACUGCCUUUUGUCAAUAUGCUCCAGACGGUGAAUCUGGAAUUCAAGCAAAAGAUGUCUCUUGUGGUGUGACUAUCCUUCAAAGAGAGCCAGAGCCCUACUCUCCCACUGCAACAGGGAGGGGAUCCAAUCAAAUUAUGUUAGAAUCUACUUAUGACUUACAGAUAAAAAAUAAUACAUCCAUGGGUGGCAUUGGUCUCAAUCAUUCGGGUGUGAAGAAUCCUUUGAAAGCAUCACCCAUGUCACACAAGAUAAACAAAAUGAAUGGAGAACGACAUGGCUCUUGUUAUCCUGUGGACAUCAAAAGUAGACCUGAGGACUUGGCUGCUUUUGAUGAUUUUCAAGGGGAAAGUCUGGCCAUGCACGAGGAAGCUGAAUCCAGUCUGAAGAAAAAGAAGGGAUUUUGGGUUAAUAAUGCUGCAGGUGGAGACAAGCCUUUUAUGGAGUCUGGAAGAUACAGAAAGGGGGACCGUACCUGUUUCAUGUGUGGUUCGCCAGACCAUUUCAUACGGGACUGUCCAGAUGCUUCAAGUCCGCAUCCUUUGCUUCAGAGAGGAAGUGCUAUGUUUCCAGGAGUCAUUCAGGGUUAUGUACCACCAUAUUGGAAUGGAACUUCCUUCCCCCAUAUCAGGCCCUUUGGGAACAUAUAUGGCAAUGCUGGGAUGAUGCCCUUCAAUGCAGCCAUGGUCCCAGCUGCCCCUUAUGCCGUACCUAAUUAUAUGCCAUCUGUGUAUGGUGGCUUUCCUUCAUACAGUGGAUAUAUGCCAAUGGGAGGUGUGGCACCUCCACGGGGGCCAAUUGAAGAACUACAUCAAACUAAUCAAGACUUUGUGGAUUUUCAAAAUUUUGAAAAGAGACGGAAGAUCUCAAAUGAGAAUAUGAGGAGAGAACUAUCUCGUGAUGAUUAUGAAAAUGAUGAUUUUAGUAAGAGGGGUCCCUAUAAUGAGACAGAAAGAUCACAUGACCGUAAAUCUUCUUUAAACAGGGAAAGGAGUGUCAGUUACUCUGAGGACAGCUUCACUCAGAGGUCACAGAAGAAACAUCAGCGUGAUAAUUAUGUACAUGAUAACAACUUGGUUGAUGAAAGAUGUGAGAAGGGAUCUCAUCCCUCAAUUGCUGUUAGGGAUCUGAGGUCACAUCAUCACACAGAGAGAUCAAGUUCAGAAGUAGAAGAUAUGCCCAGUAGCCCAAAGUGGCAUAGUAAAAAGAGGCGUGUACACCACCAUACAAGCUCCGAGAAGCACAGUGAAAGAAGGGAUAAAUGCGGAAGUGAUUCUAGUCGGAGUCACCAUCAAACUUACAAAGAAAAAGAGGUUGAAAGGAAGAGAAAUAGAUCUGACAUCAAACGGCAAAAUCACAAACGUCACAGCCAUGCAGAAUCUGGUUUGGACCAAAGUCUUUCUAGUGAUCGCAGAAAGCAACGGAAGGAGACCAGUCACACCUCCAGACGCUCGCACAAGAGUACUGAUGAUCUCAGUCAUGACAGGUGGCAGAUGGUUAGUGGAUCCAAUGAGGAUGGAGGAGAAGACUACCAUUCUUAUAAACGGAAAAGAGGUCAUUAAAAAGAUGCAGCAGGCCUGACUGAGCUUGAGGUGUGGACGCUAGCAAACUAAAGUUUUAAUCAGAGCAGCAUCGGUAAAAUUUAAUAUAGGGUUUGGAUGCUUUAUGACGUGCCCAAACUUCUUUCUGCAGAGAUUGUUGCAGCUGGUAAAGGAAGGGGCUGAUGGGACAAGGAUCAACAUCAGCAAUCUACCCUAGACGUGGAGGGUGAAGAGGAAAGAAGGAAGAUAGUACAAAACAGAAAGAAGACCCUGAGGAAGGGAGAUCAAGAAAUUGAGAGGAAAACAUUGUAGUCAUCAAGAAUUGAACUUGUAAUCAAACUUGAGAAGAAAUAUAUAAGAAUUAAUCUUCUCGGAUUGUGCCGAGGGCGGUUUUCUUUAGAUUAAACAAGUCUAUCUUCAUUUUCUUGUCAUCUGGAUCCACUUUACUUGUUGUUUGACUCAUUAAAGCCAGUUUUCUAACCCACUCUUUACAAAUUCAUUGUAUUGGACUCUUUGGGCCUAAGUUCAUCCAUCUUUUGGGCUUGGGAACCAAAUUGUGUCCUUACAAUUAGCGUUGUCUGUGGGAAAUUCUUGUUUUUUAGUGAGUUUGAUGUUCAACUAUGGUAGGUUUAGGUCCAAGUCUGAAGGAAUCUAUGGGAUUCCAACGUUAAGAUCAUUUUGUUAAUCUUAAGCGAAGAAGGGACCAGGAAGUUAAUGUACAUACCACCCAUACUAGCAGGAGCAAGUCUCGAAGUGGAAGCCACCUCUCUCAUGAGGGGAAUACUAAGGCCAUGCAACUGAAGAUUGAUCACUUAAAAAGGAAGUCAAUCUCCAGUUGCGCCAUGAACGGCGAAGACAAACUCCCUCCAAUUUUGACUUCUCUUCUGAUGAUGAGGAGGAUGGUAGUUAUAAACCCAAAUCAAGGACUUCUCCUAGUGAGUCUUUCUCGUAUGAUGAGGACUACUACCGUAAGCGUAGAAUUGGGGGAGGGAGACUUCCUUGGCGGUUCACUCAGUCAACGUUCACCAUGUACAAUGGUUGAACAAACCCUGUGGAGCACGUAAGCCACUUCAACCAGAGAAUAGCAGUGCACUCCAAGAAUGAGACCUUGAUGUGUAAGGUAUUUCCAUCCAGCUUGGGGCUUAUGGCGAUGAGGUAGUUUGAUGGUCUAGGUGUAGGUUCCAUUGAUUCUUUUAAAGAGCUGACCCGGACGUUUGGAUCUUGUUUUAUUACAUGCAGUAGGGUGUCUCGGCCUCUAGAUUCCUUGUUGUCCAUGUCCAUGCGAGAAGGGAAGACCCUGAAAACGUACUCGAACAGAUACUGAGAGAUGUUCAAUGAGAUCAAUGAGAACUUUGAUGACAUGGCUAUAAAGACUUUUAAGGUCGGCCUGCCCGUCGAGCAUGAUUUGAGAAAGUCUUUGACCAAGAAGCCAAUAAGGAGUAUGCGUCGGCUUAUGGACCGUAUUGACAAGUAUAAGCGAGUUGAGGAAUACCAGCAGCAAGGGAAGGGAAAGGCUAAGGUUAUCCCUCUGGACAUGAGGGAUUUUAGGUUGGACAGAAACAAUAAUAACAGGCCCCGAAGGGAUUUUGCUGGGCAAUUUGGGUCUACAGUUCCUCAGGUGGUUAACACGGUGUUCCAAGAACCAGUACAUCAAGUCUUGGAGAAGAUCAAGAAUGAGCCAUACUUCAAAUAGUCAAACAAGAUGGGAGGAGACCCCAUGAGGUGCAACCAAAGUCUUCAUUGCCAUUACCAUCAGGAAUGAGGGCAUACCACCGAGGACUGUAAAACUCUAUGGAAUCAUCUGGAGCAAUUGGUCAGAGAUGGAAGGUUACAACAGUUUUUGUAUCGACCCAAUGGGCAAGGAGACCAAGCAAGGUCAGGGGCUCAAAGGAAUGCUUCUUCAAGGCCCCAUUUGGGCACAAUUAAUGUCAUCUUUGCUGCUCCUAGGAGGACAAGUUCUCAUCCCUCCAGGAUGAUGUCUAUAGUUCGACCAAUCGUUAAGGACUCUAAUUCUGAGCCGAAGAGGGCGAGGGUGGAGAUCUGACCGGUGUUGGGUUUUUUGAAUGAGGAUAAGAUUGGAACCAUACACCCGCACGAUGAUGCUUUAGUGGUCAACCUCAGGAUAGAAGGGUAUGAUGUGAAGAGGGUGUUGGUAGACCAAGGUAGCGGUGUAGAGAUCAUGUAUCCUAACUUAAACAAUGGGCUAAACUUGAAGCUUAAAGAUUUAACGGCCUAUGAUUCACCUUUGGUAAGCUUCGAUAGGAAAGUUAUCAUUCCAAAAAGUCAGAUUAGACUGCCCGUGCAGGCAGGUUCAAAGGUAGUGAAGGUGGAUUUUAUUGUAGUGGAUGCUUAUUCCCCCUACACCACCAUUGUGGCAAGGCCCUGGCUCCAUGCCUUGGGAGUCGUUUCGUCCACCUUGCAUUUGAAAGUUAAGUAUCUGUCUGGGGACCAGAUUGAGGAUCUAAUUGGGAGCUAGUUUAUGGCUAGGCAGUGUUUGGUAUUUGCAAUUAUGCAUCAGCCCGUAGUUGAGUCCUCGGUCUCCGUUGAGGGGGGCUCAUAACAGUCAAGGAUCUCAAUCCUGUCUACGGAUGUGGUGCUAGAAGGGGCAAAGUGUGAGAGAUUGGAGGAAAUUGUUAUAGAUGGUGAUCCAGAGAAGUUUUUUCAGGUCGGAGCUUAGUUGCCUCCUCGAGAGAAGGAAGAACUGUUAGCAUUUCUGAGGAAUGUUGACGUGUUGGCAUGGAAUGCUUAUGAAGCUCUUGGGGUAGAUCUAGACUUCAUUUGUCAUCAUCUGAAUGUCAACCUAGCUGUCCCCCUAGGAAGCAAUCACCUUGGCGCUCAUCUAAAGAGCAUUCUGAUGCUGUUUAGGAAGAGGUGAACAAGCUUAAGCAGGCCAGGGCUAUUAAGGAAGUGUUCUACCCUGAGUGGUUGGCUAAUACGGUAGUAGUGAAAAAGAAGAAUGGGAAGUGGUGGGUAUGUGUAAACUUCACAGAUCUGAGUAAAGCUUAUCCCAAUGAUCCUUUCCCCAUGUCUCGAAUAGACUAGUUGGUGGAUGCCAUUGUAGGCCAUCCUUGGAUGAGCUUUCUGGACGCCUUUCAAAGGUACCACCAGACACUUUUGGUUUUGGAUAAUUAAGAGAAAACAGCUUUUGUUACUCCUAUUGGGAAUUACCACUACAAAGUGAUGCCCUUUGGUCUAAAGAAUGCAGGGUCUACUUAUCAGAGGAUAAUGACCAGGAUGUUUGAGCCAUAACUAGGAAAAAACAUUGAAAUUUAUAUAGACGACAUGGUGGUUAAGAGUAAGUUGGAAUCCGAGCAUAUUAACGAUCUCGGGAAUAUCUUUGAAAUCUUGAGGAGACACAAGCUGCAACUUAAUGCUUCUAAGUGCUCUUUUGGUGUUAGAUCAGGAAAGUUCUUGGGGUACAUGGUUAUUCAUCGCGGAAUUGAAGUCAACUCUGACCAAAUUAAAGCAAUUAACAAUUUACAGCCACCUCGGAAUCCCAAAGAGGUCCAAAAGUUGACAGGGAUGACUGCUGCUCUAAACUGAUUCAUUUCUCGGUCAGCAGAUAGAUGUAGGCCUUUCUUCUAGUUGUUGAACAAGUGGAAGGGAUUUGAAUGGACCAAGGAGUGUGUCUUGGCCUUCCAGCAGUUGAAGGAAUACCUAUCUCGGCCACCCAUUAUGUUAAGGCCCAAGGUGGAUGAGGUUUGUUCGCUUACAUUGCUGUGGCUUCCCAUGUAGUGAGCCUAGUGCUUGUACAGGUUGAUAGUGGUGUACAAAGGUCAGUUUAUUAUGUGAGCAAGUUACUACAUGAGGCCAAGAUUCGUUACCUACCACUGGAAAAGGCCAUUUUGGCAGUGGUGCAUACUACACGUAAGCUUCCCCAUUAUUUCCAAUCUCAUACAAUUGUUGUUUUAACUCAACUUUCGCUUAAAUCACUUCUUUGGAGUGCUGAUUACACUAGAAGAAUUGCCAAGUGGAGAAUAAUCCUAGGGGCUUUUGAUAUAAAGUACAUGUCUCGCGCCUCUGUCAAGGGUCAAGUUCUCGCAGAUUUGGUGGCCAAGUUCACUAAAUCUCCAUUGGAAGAAAAAGUUGAAAAGAAGAAUAUGGAUGGAAAAUCGGUUGGUGUGGUCUUCUUGCAAGAGCCUUUACCCUGGAGAGUACACGUUGAUGGGGCAACGAAUUAAAGAGGGUCUGGAGUGGGGCUAGAUAUUAUUUAUCCUGAGAAGAUCAUUAUUGAGAAAUUCUUAAGGUUGGGCUUCUCGGCCACCAAUAAUGAGGCUGAGUAUAAGGCUCUAUUGGUAAGGAUAACUAUAGUUCAGAGAAUGGGAUGAAAGGCAGUGGAAAUGUUUUCAGAUUCGAGAUUGGUUGUAGGCCAGGUAGGGGGAGAGUUGGAAACUAGAGAUCUCAGAAUGCAGGAAUAUUUGAACCAGGUUAGACAUUUACAAUUAGGAUUUGAGUCUUUUAAUUUAUCGCAAAUCUCUAGAAGUAGAAAUACACAUGCUGACUCUCUUGCCACGCUCGUAGCCUUCUCGGCACAAAGUUUACCUCGAGUGAUCCUUGUGGAAGACUUGUGUAAACCUACUGAAAUAGGGAGAAACGUGGUUCAUAUUCAUCAUAUUAGAGUGGGUCCUAGCUGGAUGGAUUCUAUUGUGCUAUUCUUUAAGGAAGAUAUCUUGCUCGAGUGUAAAUUCGAGGUCAACAAGCUACGGAGAAAGGCUCCUUGGCUUUGGCUGUCUGAGGAUCAAAAGUUGUACAAGUGCUCUUUUUCUGGACCAUAUUUGCUAUGCAUACACCCUAAAGCAGUUGAACUACUCCUAGAAGAGUUACAUGAAGAGAUUUGUGGAAGCCACAUUGGAGGCAGAUCCUUAUCUCACAGGGCCCUCACCCAGGGAUAUUAGUGGCCAAAUGUGCAAAAGGAAGCACAAGAGUAUGUGAAGAAAUGCGAUCAAUGCCAAAGAUUUGCUCCAAACAUUCAUCAACUAGGAGGAGUCCUUUAAUCCUCUGUCCAGCCCUUGACCAUUUGCUCAAUGGGGCUUGGAUAUUAUUGGACCCUUCCCUAAGGCAGUAGGGAAUAAGAGAUGGUUGCUGGUCAGUAUGGAUUACUUCACCAAAUGGGUUGAAGCUGAACCACUAGCAAAUAUCAGGGAUAUGGAUGCCAAGAGAUUUAUCUGGAAAAAUAUUGUCAUUCGGUUUGGAAUCCCUCGUACACUUAUCUUAGACAAUGGUCUUCAGUUUGAUAGUAAAGCCUUCAGGAGGUAUUGUUGUGACCUGCGCAUAACAAAUAAAUAUUCCACCCCGGCAUAUCUAUAGGGGAAUGAAUAAGCCGAGGCUGUCAAUAAGGUUAUAGUGAGUGGGCUCAAAAAGAGGUUGGAUGAUGCAAAGGGAAAAUGGGUGGAAGAUUUGUCGCACGUUCUCUGGACGUAUCGUACUACACCUCGAAGGUUCACUGGAGAGACCCCAUUUUCAAUGACUUAUAGGGUUAAGGCUGUGAUUCCUCUAGAGACAGGAUUCCUAACGCUGAGGACAAGCUUUUUUACUUUGAGUAGCAAUGAUGGGCUAUUGGAGAAAAGUUUAGAUUUAAUUGAAGAGCGAAGGGAAAAUGCUAUGGUUCAGCUGGCGUACUAUCAAUACAAGCUCAAGCAGGGGUACGACUUAAAUGUAAGGUUAAGGCCAUUAGUGCCUAGAGACCUAGUAUUAAGAAAGGUUUUGGGUACUGCCAAGAACCCAGCCUAGGGAAAGUUAGGGUUCAAUUGGGAAGGGCCAUAUCGCAUCACAUCAGUGACUGAAAUAGGUGCAUAUUAUCUUGAAGAUCUAGAUAAAAAUGUUAUACCACACCCUUGGAAUGUAAAUAACUUGAGAAGGUAUUAUUAUUUAUGAAAGCUUUCUUUACCAUAUUUUGGUUUAUUACAUUAUGCAUCAUGUGUCCUACUAUUUGUUUGAAUAUCAAACAGAAUCUUGAUCAUGUCUGGCUCCUCGGACCACAUACCUUGGGUAAAUUGAUAUUUUAAGUAUUAAACAGAACCUUAGCUAUGCCUGACUCCUCAAACCACAUGCUUUGGGUAAAUUAAUACUUUCUGACAUCUAUCUAAGUAUCAAACAAAAUUUUGGUCAUGCCUGGCUCCUUGGACCACAUACCUUGGGUAAAUUAAUAUAUUUUAAUCAUUUUUCUAAGUGUUAAACAGAACCGUAGCUAUGCCUGGCUCCUCGGAUCACAUGUUUUGGGUAAAUUAAUACUUCCUAAUAUCUAUCUAGUAUCAAACAGAACAUUGGUCAUGUUUGACUCUUCAGGCCACAUACCUUGGGUAAAUUUAUAUCUUUUAAUCAUUUUUCUAAAUGUUAAAUAGAACCAUAGUUAUGUCUGGUUCCUCGGACACCUACUUUGGGUAAAUUAAUACUUCAUAACAGUUUUCUAAGUAUCAAAUAGAAUCUUGAUCAUGCCUAACUCCUCGGACCACAUACCUUGAGUAAAUUGAUAUCUUUUAAUCAUUUUUCUAAGUGUUAAACAGAAUUAUAGUUAUGUAUAGUUCCUCGGACCACCUACUAUGGGUAAAUUAAUACUACAUGACAAUUUUCUAAGUGUUAAACAGAAUCUUAGCUAUGCCUGGUUCCUCGGACCACAUGCUUUGAGUAAAUUAAUGUUUCCUGACAUUUAUCUAAGUAUCAAACAGAACAUUGGUCAUGUCUGGCUCCUCGAAUCACUUACCUUAAGUAAAUUGAUAUCUUUUAAUUAUUUUUCUAAAUGUUAAACAGAACUAUAGUUAUGUCUGAUUCCUCGGAUCAUCUACUAUGAGUAAAUUAAUACUUCAUAACAGUUUUCUAAGUAUCAAACAGAAUAUUGGUUAUGUUUGGCUCCUCGGACCACAUAUCUUGAGUAAAUUGAUAUCUUUUAAUCAUUUUUCUAAGUGUUAAACAGAACCAUAGUUAUGUCUGGUUCCUUGGACCAUCUACUAUAGGUAAAUUAAUACUACAUGACCGUUUUUUAAGUAUCAAACAGAACCUAAGUUAUGUUUGGUUCCUUGAACCACAUGCCUUGAGUAAGUUAAUGCUUUCUGUUAUUUAUUCAAGUAUCAAACAGAGUUAGCCAUAAUAUAUGGUAAAGAUCAUUGUCGAAGUGACAUGAUCAAUUGCAUGCUCAUGAGCAUCACUUAAAGCAUUUGAAAGUAUAUCCAUGAUCUAUUUAAGAGUUGAUUAUUGUAUCCAGUUCCUUAAACUUAGUAAUGGGAAAAGAGUUAGAUGGAGCCUAACAUAAAUGGGUGCUUUACCAUUUAUAUACAUGAAUGGAGUUAUAUCUCAUUUCCAAGUUAGUUGAGUGUUAGAUAAGACAGAAAUUAUGUUAAGAUCAACACAAACAUCACAAAUAUGAAAAAAAAACUUAUAAUUAUCAUUGAUCUGAGCCUUAGGAAGAGGCAAAGUUGAUUACAAAAAAUCAAACUAAAUUACAAGUUCUAGGAACAAAAACAACUAAAAAAAAAAGAAGAUAAUUCAUGGUUUUAUCUUUAUUACAAGUUUGUCUUUUGGAGUCUUGGUGGCCUGGAUGGUUGCUACUACUGAGGAUGUCGGACCCUUACCUAUGGGGUCUUCCUUGGCAGGAAUGGGGAGAGUUGCCAAAACCAACUCUAGGUUUUGAGAAAUCACUCAUUCCUUGGAAGAAUCUUUGGAUGCGUCUGAGGGCUUUGGCAUCUCGGGGGCGACCUCCUUGAAGACUUCUUUUUCCUUAUCAGCUGGAUCGGCUUGCUCUGCCACUUCUUGAGGACUGUUGGAAUAAAGAGGGUCCUUGGAUGAAGCCUCUUCAAUAGGGCUUGUAACGUUGGGGGCUACAUCAUCUAAGGAGGCUGAAGAGCUUGGCGCCCGAAUUGCGGGGGGAUAGUACACAUUCUCCGCUCUCCUAAGUGCUGAGGAGGCCUCAACCCCUGCCAGGUUAAGGGCCUCAUUUCACACUUGGAGGCAGUAUGCUCUACACACCCCUGAGACCUCGGCCCUGAAAGCCUCCUCGAUCUUAGCUACCCCCACAUCGUAGCUGUCUUGUUCGGCUUGAUCCUUGGCUUUCUCAACAUCCUCCGGUUUUUUCUUUAACAGCUUGAUUUGCUCUCUAGCAGCAGCGAGCUCAUCCUCGGUCAGGCAGAGUUGCUUGCGCUAAGCCUUAGUCUACCUCUCUGCCCCAUCCAGUGCUGCCUCAGCACUUUUCCUACCCCUUUCUACCUUGGUGAGCUUGGCGUCUGACUCCUUUAACCUUUUCUCGGCCACUUUAAAGGCCUCAACAGCAACAACUCGCCUGCCCUCCUCAUCCUUCAUUUGUCAGUGGGAAAUAUCCACCAACUCCUUGGCUCUGAAAGUGGCUUGAAUAGCCUACAAAGGAAACUUGACAGUGAGUAUUAAAAAAAAAAAAAAACAAAAAAAA